rnacentral:rRNA from 1 species
GCCUACGGGACGCAGCAGUGGGGGAUAUUGCACAAUGGGGGGAACCCUGAUGCAGCGACGCCGCGUGGGUGAAGGAGCGUUUCGGCGCGUAAAGCCCUAUCGGCAGGGAAGAAGAUGACGGUACCUGACCAAGAAGCCCCGGCUAACUACGUGCCAGCAGCCGCGGUAAUACGUAGGGGGCAAGCGUUAUCCGGAUUUAUUGGGUUUAAAGGGUGCGCAGGCGGCGAGUUAAGUCAGCGGUAAAAUUUCGGGGCUCAACCCCGACGAGCCGUUGAAACUGGCUUGCUAGAGUGG